UACCUUCCUACUUGGAUACCUGUGGCAAUUCUAGAGCUAAUACAUGCUACAAACCCCGACUGACGAAGGGGCGUAUUUAUUAGAUAAAAAACCAAUGCCCUCCGGGGCUCCGUGGUGAUUCAUAAUAACUCAACGAAUCGCAUGGCCUUGCGCCGGCGAUGGUUCAUUCAAAUUUCUGCCCUAUCAACUUUCGAUGGUAGGAUAGUGGCCUACCAUGGUUUCUACGGGUAACGGGGAAUUAGGGUUCUAUUCCGGAGAGGGAGCCUGAGAAACGGCUACCACAUCCAAGGAAGGCAGCAGGCGCGCAAAUUACCCAAUCCCGACACGGGGAGGUAGUGACAAUAAAUACUGAUGGAGAGCUCUUUAGGGUUUUCUAGUUGGAAUGAGUACAAUUUAAAUCUCUUAACGAGGAACAAUUGGAGGGCAAGUCUGGUGCCAGCAGCCGCGGUAAUUCCAGCUCCAAUAGCGUAUAUUAAAGUUGUUGCAGUUAAAAAGCUCGUAGUUGAAACUCAGGCCUGGCUGGCCGGUCCGCCUCACCGCGAGCACUGGUUCGGCCGGGCUUUUUCCUUCUGGGGAUCCGCAUGCCCUUCACUGGGUGCGUUGGGGAACCAGGACUUUUACUUUGAAAAAAUUAGAGUGUUCAAAGCAGGCAUAUGCUCGGAUACAUUAGCAUGGAAUAAUGGAAUAGGACGUGUGGUUCUAUUUUGUUGGUUUCUAGGACCGCCGUAAUGAUUAAUAGGGAUAGUCGGGGGCAUCAGUAUUCAAUUGUCAGAGGUGAAAUUCUUGGAUUUAUUGAAGACUAACUACUGCGAAAGCAUUUGCCAAGGAUGUUUUCAUUAAUCAGGGAACGAAAGUUAGGGGAUCGAAGACGAUCAGAUACCGUCGUAGUCUUAACCAUAAACUAUGCCGACUAGGGAUCGGACGGUGUUAUACUUUUGACCCGUCCGGCACCUUACGAGAAAUCAAAGUUUUUGGGUUCUGGGGGGAGUAUGGUCGCAAGGCUGAAACUUAAAGACAUUGACGGAAGGGCACCACCAGGCGUGGAGCCUGCGGCUUAAUUUGACUCAACACGGGGAAACUCACCAGGUCCAGACACAUUAAGGAUUGACAGAUUGAGCGUUCUUUCAUGAUCAUGUGGGUGGUGGU
rnacentral:rRNA from 1 species